AAUUUCAUCUGAAAAAGUCAUCAAUAACAAAGUUGUAUAACUCAUCAAGAUCUAUAACUUCUAUUUUGGUCAUUUCUUCAUCCGAUAAAGUGAUUUGUAAAAUUGUUCACAAAAUGUACAUCUCUUCUAUAGUUUUUAAAAACUAUAUAAGAGAUGUAUAUUUUAUGAAAAAUCUUACAAAUCACUUUAUCGGAUGAAGAAAUGACCAAAAUAGAAGUUAUAGAUCUUGAUGAGUUAUACAACUUUGUUAUUGAUGACUUUUUUAGUUGAAAUC
rnacentral:pre_miRNA from 1 species